ensembl:snoRNA
GAGCAAUAAUGAAAAGGUUUUACUACUGAUCUUUAUAAUUGUGAAGGUUUCAACAUUUGAUCUGAGCUCA